GGUUCCCGUACGAUCAGCGAAGUUAAGCAACACUGACCUUGGUUAGUACCUAGAUGGGUGACCGCUUGGGAAUAACAGGUCCUGUAAG